rnacentral:rRNA from 1 species
AGAGGUUUUGAUCCUCGGCUCAGGAUGAACGCUGGCGGCGAUGCUUAACACAUGCAAGGUCGAACGAGGAAAGGUGGGUGGUUUACCUAGGUGGACGGAACGGGUCGGAGUAAACCGGCGUAAAGAACCGUAGCCCUUGGGAGGGGGAACAAACAACUGGAAACGGUUGCUAAUACCCUGUAGGCUGAGGAGCAAAAGGAGAAAAUCCGCCCAAGGAGGGGCUCGCGUCUGAUUAGCUAGUUGGUGAGGCAAUAACUUACCAAGGCGAUGAUCAGUAGCUGGUCCGAGAGGAUGAUCAGCCACACUGGGGCUGAGACACGGCCCAGACUCCUACGGGAGGCAGCAGUGGGGAAUUUUCCGCAAUGGGCGAAAGCCUGACGGAGCAAUGCCGCGUGGAGGUGGAAGGCCUACGGGUCGUCAACUUCUUUUCUCGGAGAAGAAAACAAUGACGAUAUCUGGAGGAAUAAGCAUCAGCUAACUCUGUG